rnacentral:rRNA from 1 species
AUUGAACGCUGGCGGCAGGCCUAACACAUGCAAGUCGAACGAGUGGCGGACGGGUGAGUAAUGUCGGGGAAACUGCCUGAUGGAGGGGGAUAACUACUGGAAACGGUAGCUAAUACCGCAUACAACAAGUGGCUCCCAGAUGGGAUUAGCUAGUUGGUGGGGUAACGGCUCACCAAGUCAACGAUCCCUAGCUGGUCUGAGAGGAUGACCAGCCACACUGGAACUGGGACACGGUCCAGACUCCUACGGGAGGCAGCAUUGGGGAAUAUUGCACAAUGGGCGCAAGCCUGAUGCAGCCAUGCCGCGUGUAUGAAGAAGACCUUCGGGUUGUAAAGUACUUUCAGCGGGGAGGCGUUACCCGCAGAAGAAGCACCGGCUAACUCCGUGCCAGCAGCCGCGGUAAUAC